AAUGGGAGGAAGGAGACCUGCUACGAGGGGUUCACUACUCUCUUUUGUUCCUUUUUCUUGUUCUCUCUUACACGUCAGCACAUCAGCACAGCGUCCUCACACCAGGGAAAUUCCCCCAACCGCCCAGCGGUCCUUCUCAAGGUAAGAAGCAGAGGCUGCUGCGUCCUGGGCCAGGGAUGCUCGCAGAAGCCGGGUCUCUGACAACCUCUGGGCCCAUGCGAGGUUUUCCGACAGGACAGUGGUUGCGGGUCAGCGUGGGUGGAAGCAGAGGUUGCAGAGAAGAGCCCGGGGCCGCGCUGCCAGCAUAGGGCGCCCACCUGGAAACAGGCGGCCUUUCUGGAGUCCAGCAGGCUCAGGCCCUGCGGUGAACGGACGGAGGGAAGGAGCGGUGGACUGACUCCGCGGGGCCCUUCAGCUGCCACCGCCAGGCUAAGUAAGCCCUAAGAAGACCAAAGAGCGAUCAAAACUCCUACCUCCACCUUCUGAACACGCCCAGGGCUGCCAGAGCUCGGAGCUGUGACGCUGGGGUUUUGUUCCGCUUCACCCAAUCUUCCCUAGCAGUCUGGAGGUGGGGCGGGAGCUGAAGGUGGAAACUUCCCAGGUAGGUGGAAACUUCCUCCUUAAUGGAAGUCUCCAGGGUCCAGCCGUGGGCCCCGUGUGCAGCGCGAAGUCUCCGCCCCAGAGGCUGCCAGCGGGCCAGGAGCGCUCCACUGAUCCCUGCGGAGCCGCGGACACAGGGGGUCGGUGUCUGCAGGCGCCUGCGGGCGGCCUGUCCGGGUCUCUGUCUCUGUUUUCCAGAGGAGGGAAAGUAGGAACGGUGUGGUCAAUUACAACUUUUUUCUCCGUGGCUCCUAUUAGGACUUCUUAAAAAUUAGUAUUCAGAUGCAAAGCUGGGGUGUUCCCGCCUGGAGUCUGCCUAGCAGGGUUCCCUGGCUCUGCAGCCUGGCUCUGUCUGGCAGAGGCUUUCCCGCCCAGCAGCUCAGGCUGCCUCUAGGCCCAAAGCUAUGGGUUCUCUCUGGGACUUCCGAAGUCCCCAGGGCCAACCACUUCAAGCAACUGCGUCUGAGAAGACUGCGAUCCACCCGUCAUCUCUGCAUCUCAUCUCGACCCAAGACAGCAGCCCCAGAUCAGCCAAGGCGCUGUGAGCCAUGUGUGCCCACGCGGGUGCCGCCCUCGGCGCCCCGCCUGGCACUCCUUCCCGUGCGACUCUGGGGAGGACAGAGAGACUCCCGUGAGCCAGCACGGGGGGAUCCUCGCGUUUCCUGAUUUGAUAAGGCAGAAUCUGGGAGCACCCGGCUGGUGGUUUUGGGGGUGGGCCCAGGGAAGCAGCUCUGGGCCUCGGAUUGUGGAUGGGGGAAGAGGAUACACAUCUUAAAGAUAGACCUCAAGUUCACCCCCAAAACGAGGUUCGCCUUUCCCCGGGCUCCUGCCAGACUGCCGAGGACCGCGGGCGGAAUGCAGCGGAGGAGGGGGCCUCUCCAGAAGCCCAGAAGAUGCUGGUGCAAUGCUCUCAGAUCUCUAGAAUUGUGAGCUAAAUAAACACCUCUGCUUUGUAAAUCA